rnacentral:rRNA from 1 species
GACGAACGCUAGCGGCGUGCCUAACACAUGCAAGUCGAACGGUAAAGCUCUUCUUUUAUCUUGUGCUCGACUCGCGAAUGCGUAACAAACACGUAAGUAACCUUCCUUUGGCUUUGAGAUAACUUCAGGAAACUUGAGCUCAUACCAGUUUGGUGCUCCUCCUCCAUGAUUAUUGUUGAAUAGUUUCGGCGGUUGGGGAUGCGCUCGCGGCUUAUCAGCUUGUUGGUUAGGUACUUGCUUACCAAGUCUUUGAUGGGUAGCCGGCCUGAGAGGGUGACCGGCCAACUUGCGAGUGAGAUACGGGACAGAGUAGUGCGGGAGGCAGGAGUGGGGAAUAGUGCAUAAUGGGCGGAAGCCUGGUGAAGGAACGCCGUGUGAUGGAUGACGGCCUUCUUGUUGUAAACGGCAUUCGCAUGUGACGAAGGGUGAGUGAAGGUAAUGGGUAAAGAAGCACCGGCUAACUACGUG